UAGGAUUAGCGGUAACAAUUUCAGCGGAAAAAUACCCAGUUUUAUUCAGAGUUGGAAACUACUUGAGAGGAUAGAGAUCCAAGGUAGUGGUCUUGAAGGGCCCAUUCCCUCUAACAUUUCUGUCUUGACUAAUUUAACCCAAAUAAGGAUCAGUGACUUACUUGGGGAAGGUUCUGGGUUUCCGAAUUUAACAAACAUGAUAAAUAUGAAAUAUUUGACACUGAGGAACUGCAAUAUAUCUGGACCUUUCCCUGACUAUAUAAUGAAUAUUGGAAGUCUGAACCUUAUAGAUCUCAGUUUCAAUAGAUUGACUGGAAAUCCUCCAGAACCAAAAAAUAAAGAACUGGCAAUGUAAGCAUUCUAAAUUCAUGAAGUGGCUAGCUAAAUAUCUGUAAAGAAGGCCUUUUAAUUUUCAUGUAUAUUGGUUCUGUAUAUAAUGCUCAAUAAUCAAAACUUCAAAUUUCCUUCAUUCUUCUAUAUAUCAUUUUUCCAACUCUCUGGAUGCGUUCAAAAAAUUAACAUCAUCAUUGUAUAGCUGUAUGGCGAACAACUUGCUAAAUGGAUCCAUCCCAGAAUGGAUCAUCAAAAGACCUAUAAAAAGGUAUGUUUGUUAUGGAUUAUUGCAAGAAAUUCUGUUGGCCUUUUAUUUUAGUAUUUUGAAAUAAUUUCCUACAGAAACUUUCCACCAACUUUGCUUUCUCUAAUGUAUUCACAUUUUAACCAAAAUAUUCCAAAACAUACAUUUUAACCAAAAUAUUUGAAAACAUACUUUUUCUCCAAGCCAUAAAAUGAGUUAAUGUUUGUAUGCAGUGCAAUCGAUAUUUCUUACAAUAAUUUUUCUGGAACUCCUGACCCAAGUUAUUGUCAACAAAAUCUGUAAGAACAUCUCCUUAUUUUUUGUGCAUGUAUUUUUCUGUGAUUGAAGAAUGUCUGUUCCGUUUAAGAAUUUUGGAAAUUAACUUCUUGGUUGGUUCAUUAGGAAUUUGUUCAAAAGCACAUCCGGAGGGAACAAUUCGUGAGCAUCUACUUUAUUAAAUUACUAGGAACUCAUUUCCUCCAUUUCUUCUUCAUUCCUUUCUUUUUGUAAAACGUACUUGUUAUUUUUCUUCCCUUUUGUUUAAUAUAAUUUGAUGCUUCUUUCAUGCAUUACCUUUCCAGAAAGGCUGUGGAGUGCUUCGGCGACCUUCCUUGUUUAAAAGGUUGACAUACAUUUGCAUCUAAGUGGGUGAUAUUUACUCUUAUUUGACCGGGAAAAAUUGAAACCCAAAACCCCAUUGGUUCUGCUAAAGAUAAACAAUACAAAACAGCAUAUGAGGCAACAAAAUUUUGUUCAUGUCUAUUCUGUUAUGAUUGGUCUUAUCGAAUUAUAUUUUGUUAACAUGGUUAAUAUUUCUAGUUUUCUAUUAGAUUAUUAUUCGUUGCAUAUAAACUGCGGUGGAGGACCAAUCGCCAUUGGGAAGUUCCGCUAUGAAGCAGAUGAAGGGUAUGGAGGUGAAGCACAAUAUGUUCCCUCGAAAGACAACUGGGCAUUUAGUACCAGUGGACAUUUUCGGGAUAAAAAUAACACAGCAGACAUGUACAUAGCAAAAAAUGUGUCCAUACUACGAAUGAGCAGCUCUGAAUUGUACACACG
rnacentral:misc_RNA from 1 species